rnacentral:lncRNA from 1 species
CUUCUUUUCAUAUCAUUGAUUUUUCGAAAAAGUUACAAUUUCUUAUCAUCACGGAGUGUAUUACAACCUAACCAAUUAUGAAAAAAAAAAUAAAAACUUCAUCUAUUGAUAUAUAUAGUUGAAAAAAAAAUUAAAAGACAAAAACAACAUUAAGCAAGACCUCGGAUAAUCGUUUAAAAAUAGCCUAAGGGCCCGUUUGGUUCGAGUUAUGUAAUAUUACAAAGUAUCUCGACAUAUCCAGGUAUCUUGGAUUUCGGCGUGAGAUUACUACUAAUGCUACAUUAGAGCGUUUGGUUUAAUACAGUAAUGUAAUACUAGAUUACAGUGUUUAUAGCAUUAAUAUGUUUGGUUCAGUUUAUAAAAUUUAGUAAUCCUAACAUAAAAGUAUAGUUUUUUUCAAAAUUGCCCUUGUUGUGGUCAUUUGAAUAUUAUUUUUUGCGGAAAUGACGAAUGGAGGGAAGGAGAUCGUGAUGAUUAUUUGGGAGGACGACGCAAUAGAAGAUGAUAGGUGUUCGCGUGAGAGAGAGAGAGAGAGAGAGAGAGAGAGAGAGACGUCCAGAGAGAGAGAGCGAGAGAAAGCGGCGUGCGAGAGAGAGGGCCGGGGGAAGGCGAGAUAGAGAUGAAAAUAAUGCUGUUAAUUAGAUUUGGGGUUGUUGGAGGGUAAAAUUGUCAUUUUACAUAAUAUGUAGUAUUAACGGGUUUCAGUAAUGCAAGAUACACGACCCCCCUCCCAUUAAUAUUUUCGAUGUAAUCCUGCUCGAUUUGUAAUCCUACAUUAACAACUAGAUUACAUAGCGGAUUAACCAAACAUAGUUAUCCUGGCAGGAUUGCCUGUAAUCCUGCCAGGAUAACUCGAACCAAACGCACCCUAAAUGUAAAAUUGCCUUAAUAUAUUGUUAUCAACUAUAAAUUUAGCUUUAAUUAUCAUACCUUUUUUUUAGAGAGAAAGAUAACAUGCUACCCGCUUCGUUUAUUUUGUUUAGAAAUAAAUUUAACUGAAAAUGUGAAUCAACUAAGAUUCGAACUUGGGAUCUCAAGUACCAAUAACCAAGUCCUUUUGCCACUUACGUUAAGAACGGUCAGUAAUGACCAUAUCUUUUUAUUUUCACAAAAUCCAGUAA